rnacentral:rRNA from 1 species
UACGGGGGGGGCAAGCGUUGUUCGGAAUUACUGGGCGUAAAGGGCUCGUAGGCGGCCAACUAAGUCAGACGUGAAAUCCCUCGGCUUAACCGGGGAACUGCGUCUGAUACUGGAUGGCUUGAGAUUGGGAGAGGGAUGCGGAAUUCCAGGUGUAGCGGUGAAAUGCGUAGAUAUCUGGAGGAACACCGGUGGCGAAGGCGGCAUCCUGGACCAGCACUGACGCUGAGGAGCGAAAGCCAGGGGAGCAAACGGG